rnacentral:rRNA from 1 species
AGAGUUUGAUCCUGGCUCAGAAUGAACGUUGGCGGCGUGGAUUAGGCAUGCAAGUCGAGCGGGUGUAGUAAUACAUCAGCGGCGAAAGGGAGAGUAACGCGUAGUUACGUGCCCCAGGGUUCGGAAUAGCCGCGGGAAACUGUGGGUAAUGCCGAAUAACAUCUCCGGAUCAAAGGUGUGAUUCCGCCCUGGGAGCGGACUGCGUCCUACUAGCUAGUUGGCGGGGUAAUGGCCCACCAAGGCGACGAUGGGUAGCGGGUGUGAGAGCAUGACCCGUCUCACUGGGACUGAGACACUGCCCAGACACCUACGGGUGGCUGCAGUCGAGAAUCUUCGGCAAUGAGCGCAAGCUUGACCGAGCGACGCCGCGUGCGGGAUGAAGGCCUUCGGGUUGUAAACCGCUUUCGGUUGGGAGGAAAUCUGCCGGGGUUCUCCCCGGUAGUUGACCUAUCUCGAAGAUG